rnacentral:rRNA from 1 species
CAGCAGCCACGGUAAUACGGAGGAUCCGAGCGUUAUCCGGAAUUAUUGGGUUUAAAGGGUGCGUAGGCGGAUAGAUAAGUCAGUGGUGAAAGACGGUGGCUCAACCAUCGCAGUGCCGUUGAUACUGUUUAUCUUGAAUAUGGAUGAGGUAGGCGGAAUGUGGCAAGUAGCGGUGAAAUGCAUAGAUAUGCCACAGAACACCGAUUGCGAAGGCAGCUUACCAGGGCAAAAUUGACGCUGAGGCACGAAAGCGUGGGGAUCGAACAGGAUUAGAUACCCCAGUAGUCCCUGUCUCUUAUGC